AGGCAUGAACUCAGCAAGCCUCCCAUUAGGGCUUCUAUGCUUCGCCUUGCACAGGAUGUAAAAUUAAUGAGUGCCCAAUAGACUAGCCCCCGCGCUGCGUGGGGCAAUUCUAAAUGCCACGUUCAGGUGACGGUCGCCUGGUGUUACCUCGACCGCCUGUCCUAUAGAACCCGCCUCCUGAACACAGUCUACUCAGCGAGCCUCUCCUUCACCGAGAAACAGUUGUGACGUCAACAUUUGCACGAGACCUCACUCAUGCGGGCGGGGGAGAGCAACAAUGUUGCAGCACAAUUUUACUUUUAGAUUUCAUUGGAAAAAGAAGCAGAAUGGUUCAAUAUGCAUGUGGCUAUCCAUAAUUUAAACAUUAUAUUGAAUAUGAUAAGAAUGAUAAAGAAGGCUACAUAUUAAACAUGUGAUCAAUAAUA